CAAUAGCGUAUAUUAAAGUUGUUGCGGUUAAAAAGCUCGUAGUUGGAUUUCUGCUGAGAACGACCGGUCCGCCCUUUGGGUGUGUAUCUGGCUCUUUCUUGGCAUCUUCUUGGUGAACGUUGCUGCACUUGACUGUGUGGAGCGCUACCCAGGACUUUUACUUUGAGGAAAUUAGAGUGUUUCAAGCAGGCAUACGCCUUGAAUACAUUAGCAUGGAAUAAUAAGAUAGGACCUCGGUUCUAUUUUGUUGGUUUCUAGAGCUGAGGUAAUGAUUAAUAGGGAUAGUUGGGGGCAUUCGUAUUUAACUGUCAGAGGUGAAAUUCUUGGAUUUGUUAGAGACGGACUACUGCGAAAGCAUUUGCCAAGGAUGUUUUCAUUGA
rnacentral:rRNA from 1 species